ACGCCGAGUAUUAAGGCACGCCUGCCCGGUGAUAAUUAAACGGCCGCGGUACCCUAACCGUGCAAAGGUAGCAKAAUCAUUUGUCUAUUAAUUGUAGACCUGUAUGAAAGGCAAAAUGAGAGCCCAACUGUCUCUUAUAAUAGAUCAAUUAAACUGAUCUUUCAGUACAAAAGCUGAAAUACCCCCAUAAGACCAGAAGACCCUGUGAAGCUUUAAUUACCCUAUUAAACCCAAUAAUAGCUAAUUUCGGUUGGGGCGACCUUGGAACAAAAAAGAACUUCCAAAUACAUGACCUAAGUCAUCAAAAAGGCAUACAAGCCACUAUUAGACCCAGUACAGCUGAUAAUUGAACCAAGUUACUCCAGGGAUAACAGCGCCAUCUUCUUCAAGAGCCCAUAUCAAAAAGAAGGUUUACGACCUCGAUGUUGGAUCAGGACAUCCUAGCAAUGCAGCCGUUACUAAGGGUUCGUUUGUUCAACGAUUAACAGUCCUACGUGAUCUGAGUUCAGACCGGAGGAUAUUUAAACAGAAAACUACAAUAAUCUUCUACAACAACACAGAGAUGCUCCCACACUUUUCAGGUUGGAGGAGAGGAAAAUGACUCAACCUAUGUCUCAGUUAUUAUAUUUGGAAUUAUAAAUCAGGGGUGUCAAACUAGCAGCCCACGUUGGCUCCACAAAGGCAAAAAAGUCAUGAUACAUCACGAUACAUCACAUGACGUGAUCUGAKGUCAGACCGGG
rnacentral:rRNA from 1 species